rnacentral:rRNA from 1 species
CCCUUAGAUGUUCUGGGCUGCACGCGCGCUACAAUGGCGUUUUCAAAAAGAUUGCUAAUCCGAAAGGACCAGCGGAUCUUCGAAGUGGCGUCGUGAUCGGGACAGUUGAUUGCAAUUAUUCGACUCGAACGAGGAAUUCCUUGUAAUCGUGCGUCAUCAGCGCACGCUGAAUACGUCCCUGUUCUUUGUACACACCGCCCGUCGCUCCUACCGAUCGAGCGAUCCAAUGAAUGUUUCGGAGCGGAACUGAGAUGCUAAUGCGUCUCUUUUACGCGAAUUUGUGUGAAUUUGAUCGCUUAGAGGAAGGAGAAGUCGGAACA